rnacentral:rRNA from 1 species
UACAGAGACCUCAAACGUUAUCCGGAAUCAUUGGGCGUAAAGCGUACCGAUAGGUGGUCUAACAAGUCAGAAGUGAAAUCUCCGAGCUCAACUCGGAAUCUGUCUUUUGAAACUGUUAGACUAGAGGGGCAAAGAGGAAGCUGGAACGAACGGUGUAGUAGUGAAAUGCGUUGAUAUCGUUCGGAACACCAAUAGCGAAGGCGGGCUUCUGGGUGCCACCUGACACUGCUAGGACGAAAGCGUGGGGAGCGAAUGGG